rnacentral:rRNA from 1 species
AUGAACACUUGGCGGCAUGCCUUACACAUUGCAAAGUCGAACCGGUAACAGGUUAAGCUGACGAGUGGCGAACCGGGUUGAGUAAUGUAUCCGGAACGUGCCCAGUCGUUGGGGGAUAACUGCUCGAAAGAGCAGCUAAUACCGCAUACGACCUGAGGGUGAAAGCGGGGGAUCGCAAGACCUCGCGCGAUUGGAGCGGCCGAUAUCAGAUUAGGUAGUUGGUGGGGUAAAGGCCCACCAAGCCAACGAUCUGUAGCUGGUCUGAGAGGACGACCAGCCACACUGGGACUGAGACACGGCCCAGACUCCUACGGGAGGCAGCAGUGGGGAAUAUUGGACAAUGGCGCAAGCCUGAUCCAGCCAUGCCGCGUGGGUGAAGAAGGCCUUCGGGUUGUAAAGCCCUUUUGUCCGGGAAGAAAUCGUCUGGGCUAAUACCCCGGGCGGAUGACGGUACCGGAAGAAUAAGCACCGGCUAACUUCGUGCCAGCAGCCGCGGUAAUACGAAGGGUGCAAGCGUUACUCGGAAUUACUGGGCGUAAAGCGUGCGCAGGCGGUUCGUUAAGUCCGAUGUGAAAGCCCUGGGCUCAACCUGGGAACUGCAUUGGAAACUGGCGGGCUGGAGUGCAGGAGAGGAAGGUAGAAUUCCCGGUGUAGCGGUGAAAUGCGUAGAGAUCGGGAGGAAUACCAGUGGCGAAGGCGGCCUUCUGGACUGACACUGACACUGAGGUGCGAAAGCGUGGGUAGCAAACAGGAUUAGAUACCCUGGUAGUCCACGCCGUAAACGAUGUCGACCAGCCGUUGGGUGCCUAGCGCACUUUGUGGCGAAGUUAACGCGAUAAGUCGACCGCCUGGGGAGUACGGCCGCAAGGUUAAACUCAAAUGAAUUGACG